rnacentral:rRNA from 1 species
CCUACGAGUGGCAGCAGUGAGGAAUAUUGGUCAAUGGACGAGAGUCUGAACCAGCCAAGUAGCGUGAAGGAUGACUGCCCUAUGGGUUGUAAACUUCUUUUAUCUGGGCAUAAAACGUUCCACGUGUGGGAUUUUGUAUGUACCAUAUGAAAAAGGAUCCGCUAACCCCGUGCCAGCAACCGCGGUAAUACUGGGGAGACGAGCGUUAUCCGGAUUUAUUGGGGUUAAAGGGAGCGUAGGUGGUGUGUUAAGUCAGUUGUGAAAGUUUGCGGAUCAAACGUAAUAUUGCAGUUGAAACUGGCAGUCUUGAGUACAGUAGAGGUGGGCGGAAUUCGUGGUGUAGCGGUGAAAUGCUUAGAUAUCACGAAGAACUCCGAUUGCGAAGGCAGCUCACUGGACUGCAACUGACACUGAGGCUCGAAAGUGUGGGUAUCAAACAGGAUUAGAUACCCCUGUAGUC